rnacentral:rRNA from 1 species
AUUGAACGCUGGCGGCAGGCCUAACACAUGCAAGUCGAGCGAGCGGCGGACGGGUGAGUAAUGUCUGGGAAACUGCCUGAUGUAGGUGGGUAACUACUGGAAACGGUAGCUAAUACCGCAUACCAUCAGAUGUGCCCAGAUGGGAUUAGGUAGUAGGUGGGGUAACGGCUCACCUAGGCGACGAGCCCUAGCUGGUAUGAGAGGAUGACCAGCCAAACUGGAACUAAGACACGGUCCAGACUCAUACGGGAGGCAGCAGUGGGGAAUAUUGCACAAUGGGCGCAAGGCUGAUGCAGCCAUGCCGGGUGUGUGAAGAAGGCCUUCGGGUUGUGAAGCACUUUCAGCGGGGAGGCGUUACCCGCAGAAGAAGCACCGGCUAACUCCGUGCCAGCAGCCGCGGUAAUAC